AUGUAUCUCAAUCCUUCUCUUAAAGAUACUUUUUCAGGUUUGGAUUCCCAUGCCACGUGUUUCCUAAGGGUUUUUCUCCUAAGUAAUUCCCAUUGCACUGAGUGGAGUUACUGCCUCCUCCAUCUGAACCUGCUCUCAGCUUCUGAUAAACCCAGCAACUCGUUGUCCAGCUUCCUGUUCCUGAUAUGCAGAACACAUGUCAGAACAACUGGCCUAAUGAGAGAUGAAAAAUGGGCUCCUGUCAUGAGAAUAUCAUAGUUGGAUGAUCACAGCUGGCCAUCAGGGAGUAACUGGAGUCUACUGGUUCAGCAGGAAUGGUGGCUUGGACUUGAGCUUCCCUAUGGCUGUCACAGUUGCAAUGUCAAGCAAUCCAUUUCAUAUACUGAUCUGCAGUUUCCUUCUGAUUUCAGUACUGACUGAGGUAAACUAACCUGUGUGUACCACAAAGUUUCUACCACUUUUUUUUUUUUUUACUUUUCUGGUUCUAUGUGUGACUUCUCAAAAAACACAUCAACAACAGCAACAAAAACCCUUUUUGUAUCUGUUUUGUCUGUGUAGUACCAAAAUGUCUUUGCACCAAAUGCCAGCAGUUGCUCAAAUAUACAUCAUGCAUUUUAUGAUUUUUCUUUUUCUCCCUCUGUUUUUGACUGAAUUGUGAGAUAACUCUGAAGCAUCAAAUAAAAAAGAAGCAUAAAUCA
rnacentral:lncRNA from 1 species